CAGUUUGGGAUACUGAGGAGUAACCGGGACGAGGAGGAGGCCGAGGGUUUUGUGACGAAGGAGCUGUUUCCGGCUGCGGCGUCGUCGUCGUCGUCGUCGUCGUCGAGGGCGGCGCAUUGGGCGGAUCUAGGGUUGCAGCACGUGCAGGCGACGGGGCAGCACGUGAUGCCGCAACACCAAGGGAAGAAGAACAAGUGAGGGCUGAGGUCGAGGAGCUCGUAGUAUAGAGGGGUUACUUUUUGUAGAAGGAUCGGGAGAUGGGAGUCUCAUAUUUGGGACUGUGACAAGCAGGUCUAUUUAGGAGGAUUUGACACUGCUCACGCUACUGCAAGGCAUAUGAUCGUUCUGGAAUAUAGUUUCAAGGUGUUGAUGCUGAUAUCAACUUCAAUCUAAGUGACAAUGAUGAGGAUCUGAAGCAGAUGAGGAACUUGACCAAGGAGGAAUUUGUUCACAUACUUCAUUGAUAGAGCACUGGGUUUUCAAGAGGAAGCUCAAAAUACUGAGGGGUUACUCUUCAUAAAUGUGGUCGAUGGGAGACUCGGAUGGGCCAAUUCCUUGGCAAGAAGUACAUAUACCUUGGGUUAUUCAACAGCGAAAUAGAAGCUGCAAGGCUUAUGACAAAGCGGCUAUCGAAUGUAAUGGAAGAGAAGCUGUUACUAAUUUUGAGCCUAGUUCUUAUGAAGGGGAAAUGCUUCCUGAGCCCGAUAGUGAAGCAAUUUGUAGCUUUCAUGAUGCUCGAACAACAGAAUUGGUGACUGCUGCUUAUCCUGCAUUGGAUGAGCUCACUUCGAAGGGCUAGGUACCAUUUGAUGACAAUAGAUAGAAGUGAAGGAAUUAUGAAGAUACUGCGAAGAACCAGUACAGAUUGAGCGGACAAGAAGUAAAAUUCAAGCAGCUAAACAUCCAUGUUUGGGAAGCCUUGAGAAGGGGUAAGAUAUCACAAGCAGCGGAGUAGAGGAUAGAAAAAUAUAAAAAGAUUAUAAAUAUACCUCCUUUACUUCCCAUUUUAAAUAAAUAUAUAAAGAGAAAAUU